GGUGCUUGCACAUUUCAAGUGAGUGGCGAACGGGUGAGUAACACGUGGACAACCUGCCUCAAGGCUGGGGAUAACAUUUGGAAACAGAUGCUAAUACCGAAUGAAACUUAGUGUCGCAGGACACGAAGUUAAAAGGCGCUUUGGCGUCACCUAGAAAUGGAUCCGCGGUGCAUUAGUUAGUUGGUGGGGUAAAGGCCUACCAAGACAAUGAUGCAAAGCCAAGUUGAGAGACUGAUCGGCCACAUUGGGACUGAAACACGGCCCAAACUCCUACGGGAGGCUGCAGUAGGGAAUCUUCCACAAUGGGCGAAAGCCUGAUGGAGCAACGCCCCGUGUGUGAUGAAGGCUUUCGGGUCGUAAAGCACUGUUGUAUGGGAAAAACAUCUAGAAAAUGGAAUGAUUUUAGUUUGACGGUACCAUACCAGAAAGGGACGGCUAAAUACGUGCCAGCAGCCGCGGUAAUACGUAUGUCCCGAGCGUUAUCCGGAUUUAUUGGGCGUAAAGCGAGCGCAGACGGUUGAUUAAGUCUGAUGUGAAAGCCCGGAGCUCAACUCCGGAAUGGCAUUGGAAACUGGUUAACUUGAGUGCAGUAAAGGUAAGUGGAACUCCAUGUGUAGCGGUGGAAUGCGUAUAUAUAUGGAAGAACACCAGUGGCGAAGGCGGCUUACUGGACUGUAACUGACGUUGAGGCUCGAAAGUGU
rnacentral:rRNA from 1 species